rnacentral:misc_RNA from 1 species
GAUGAAGAACGUAGCGAAAUGCGAUAAGUAAUGUGAAUUGCAGAAUUCAGUGAAUCAUCGAAUCUUUGAACGCACAUUGCGCCCGUCAGUAUUCUGGCGGGCAUGCCUGUUCGAGCGUCAUUACGCCCCUCAAGUCCCCUGUGGACUUGGUGUUGGGGAUCGGCGAGGCUGGUUUUCCAGCACAGCCGUCCCUUAAAUUAAUUGGCGGUCUCGCCGUGGCCCUCCUCUGCGCAGUAGUAAAACACUCGCAACAGGAGCCCGGCGCGGUCCACUGCCGUAAAACCCCCCAACUUUUUAUAGUUGACCUCGAAUCAGGUAGGACUACCCGCUGAACUUAAGCAUAUCAAUUAAGCGGAGGA